UAAGCGGAGGAAAAGAAACUAACAAGGAUUCCCCUAGUAGCGGCGAGCGAAGCGGGAAAAGCUCAAAUUUGUAAUCUGGCGUCUACGACGUCCGAGUUGUAAUCUCGAGAAGUGUUUUCCGUGAUAGACCGCAUACAAGUCUCUUGGAACAGAGCGUCAUAGUGGUGAGAACCCAGUACACGAUGCGGAUGCCUAUUACUUUGUGAUACACUUUCGAAGAGUCGAGUUGUUUGGGAAUGCAGCUCAAAUUGGGUGGUAAAUUCCAUCUAAAGCUAAAUAUUGGCGAGAGACCGAUAGCGAACAAGUACCGUGAGGGAAAGAUGAAAAGCACUUUGGAAAGAGAGUUAACAGUACGUGAAAUUGUUGGAAGGGAAACACAUGCAGCCAGACUUGCUAUUCGGGGCAACUCGAUUGGCAGGCCCGCAUCAGUUUUUCGGGGCGGAAAAGCAUAGAGAGAAGGUAGCAAUUUCGGUUGUGUUAUAGCUCUUUAUUGGAUUCGCCCUGGGGGACUGAGGAACGCAGCGUGCUUUUAGCAUAAGCUUCGGCUUAUCCACGCUUAGGAUGCGGGUGUAAUGGCUGUAUAUGACCCG
rnacentral:rRNA from 1 species